rnacentral:rRNA from 1 species
ACGUAGGGUGCGAGCGUUAAUCGGAAUUACUGGGCGUAAAGGGUGCGCAGGCGGUUUUGUAAGACAGAUGUGAAAUCCCCGGGCUUAACCUGGGAACUGCGUUUGUGACUGCAAGGCUAGAGUACGGCAGAGGGGGGUGGAAUUCCGCGUGUAGCAGUGAAAUGCGUAGAUAUGCGGAGGAACACCGAUGGCGAAGGCAACCCCCUGGGCCUGUACUGACGCUCAUGCACGAAAGCGUGGGGAGCAAACAG